rnacentral:lncRNA from 1 species
GAAAAUUUCACUGGAUUUAAAAUCUUUCCCAGAAAGGUGUUUAUCUCGUAUCUGUUUUCAUGGAACACUUGCUUGAACCAUGCUAAAGACACACAAUCCUACUGAUGGACAACUAUAGUGUUUGAAAUGAGAGGUAUACUCCAUAGGCUAUGUAUUUGGACACUUGUUUCCCAGUUGGCUAUGGUUAGAGAGGCUAUGAAUCUGUUAGGAGGUGUGACUCUGUUAAAGGAUGCCACACAGGGUGGUCAAUGAGAAUUUAGAGCCUUACUGAACUUCCAGUUCACUCUUCUGCUUCCCACAUGUGAAUGGAGAGCGACAUCUCAGCUUGCUGUUCUGGACACCUGCCGCCAUUCCUCCUGUAAUUGGUUGAUCUGAUGCUGUCUGCAAUCCUCAAGGUACGCAGAGUCACAUCCAGCUUUUCUGGGAACCCAAACUCAAGACCUCAUGAUGAGCAUCAAAGAAGGCCCAUUCAGCCCAAGCUAUAUAGUAGAAUCCUUUUAAAAGACCAACCAAUAAUAAUAAAUAAUGCUUGCCUUCCACUCU